rnacentral:rRNA from 1 species
UACAGAGGGUGCAAGCGUUGUUCGGAAUUAUUGGGCGUAAAGGGCGCGUAGGCGGUGCGGUAAGUCUGCAGUGAAAUCUCUGGGCUCAACUCAGAGUCUGCUGUAGAAACUGCCGUGCUUGAGUGUGGGAGAGGUGAGUGGAAUUCCCGGUGUAGCGGUGAAAUGCGUAGAUAGUCGGGAGGAACACCUGUGGCGAAAGCGGCUCACUGGACCACAACUGACGCUGAGGCGCGAAAGCGUGGGGAGCAAACAGG